rnacentral:lncRNA from 1 species
CUUUUUGUUUGUUUGUUUUGAGUGGAGUCUUCCUUUGUUGCCCAGGCUGAAGUGCAGUGGUGCGAUUUCAGCUUACCGCACCCUCUGCCUCCUGGGUCCAAGCGAUUCUCCUGCCACAGCCUCCCGAGUUUCUGGGAUUGCAGCGAGAAAUUAGGCAACAGCUAGCAGAAAAAGCUAAAGCUGGAGAACUAAAAGUCGUCAAUGGAGCAGCAGCGUCCCAGCCUCCAUCAAAACGAAAACGGCGUUGGGAUCAAACAGCUGAUCAGACUCCUGGUGCCACUCCCAAAAAACUAUCAAGUUGGGAUCAGGCAGAGACCCCUGGGCAUACUCCUUCCUUAAGAUGGGAUGAGACACCAGGUCGUGCAAAGGGAAGCGAGACUCCUGGAGCAACCCCAGGCUCAAAAAUAUGGGAUCCUACACCUAGCCACACACCAGCGGGAGCUGCUACUCCUGGACGAGGUGAUACACCAGGCCAUGCGACACCAGGCCAUGGAGGCGCAACUUCCAGUGCUCGUAAAAACAGAUGGGAUGAAACCCCCAAAACAGAGAGAGAUACUCCUGGGCAUGGAAGUGGAUGGGCUGAGACUCCUCGAACAGAUCGAGGUGGAGAUUCUAUUGGUGAAACACCGACUCCUGGAGCCAGUAAAAGAAAAUCACGGUGGGAUGAAACACCAGCUAGUCAGAUGGGUGGAAGCACUCCAGUUCUGACCCCUGGAAAGACACCAAUUGGCACACCAGCCAUGAACAUGGCUACCCCUACUCCAGGUCACAUAAUGAGUAUGACUCCUGAACAGCUUCAGGCUUGGCGGUGGGAAAGAGAAAUUGAUGAGAGAAAUCGCCCACUUUCUGAUGAGGAAUUAGAUGCUAUGUUCCCAGAAGGAUAUAAGGUACUUCCUCCUCCAGCUGGUUAUGUUCCUAUUCGAACUCCAGCUCGAAAGCUGACAGCUACUCCAACACCUUUGGGUGGUAUGACUGGUUUCCACAUGCAAACUGAAGAUCGAACUAUGAAAAGUGUUAAUGACCAGCCAUCUGGAAAUCUUCCAUUUUUAAAACCUGAUGAUAUUCAAUACUUUGAUAAACUAUUGGUUGAUGUUGAUGAAUCAACACUUAGUCCAGAAGA